rnacentral:rRNA from 1 species
CUUGGUCAUUUAGAGGAAGUAAAAGUCGUAACAAGGUUUCCGUAGGUGACCUGCGGAAGGAUCAUUACCGAGUUAGGGUCUUCUGGGCCCGACCUCCACCCUUUGUUUAUUCUACCCUGUUGCUUUGGCGGGUCCGUCCUUAGGGGCGCCGGGGGUCUUAUGACCUCUGGUUCGUGCCUGCCAGUAGCCUUUUUAAUCCUUUAUAAUUGUGAUGUCUGAGUACAAAAACAAAUCGUUAAAAACUUCAACAACGGAUCUCUUGGUUCUGGCAUCGAUGAAGAACGCAGCGAAAUCGAUAAGUAAUGCGAAUUGCAGAAUUCAGUGAGUCAUCGAAUCUUUGAAGCAUAUUGCGCCCUUUGGCAUUCCGAAGGGCAUGCCUGUUCGAGCGUCAUAUCAACCAUCAAGCCUGGCUUGUCGUUGGACCCGUUGUCGCCACAAGCAUAGGUCCGAAAGAUAAUGAACGGUGUCAUGGUGGCCCUAAAUGCAACGGCUUUUAAUAGCACGCAUCUGGUGGUCGGCAGGCCCAGUCUUAACCCAUAUUUCAAGGUUGACCUCGGAUCAGGUAGGAAUACCCGCUGAACUUAAGCUAUCAAUAAGCGGAGGA